rnacentral:lncRNA from 1 species
AUCCUGAUUUGAACCAACUUGAAAACUGGGUCCAUAAUCAAAAAUCUAAGUACAUGUUUAGAUUCAGCAUAUCAAAAAAGCCCAAGAAUUCAUUUUUUGUUAAAAUCAAACUUAGUUUAAUUUUGGACCCUUUGGACUUUAAUGUAGACCAAUUUGAAAACGGGACCAAAAAUUAAGAAUCUACAUACACAGUUAGAUUUGGCAUAUCAAAGAACCCCAAUUAUUCAAUUUUUGAUGAAAUCAAACAAAAAGUUUAAUUUUGGACCCCAGUUUGGACCAACUUGAAAACUGGACCAAUAAUCAAAAAUCUAAGUACAUUUUUAUAUUCAGCAUAUCAAAGAACCCCAAGGAUUCAAUUUUUGUUAAAAUCAAACUAAGUUUAAUUUUGGACCCUUUGGACCUUAAUGUAGACCAAUUUGAAAACGGGACCAAAACUUAAGAAUCUACAUACACAGUUAGAUUCGGCAUAUCAAAGAAC